CCUGGAGCGGGGUACCGCCCAAGCAAAGCCAGGGACCCUGAGAGGCUUUGCUUCCUGCUCCCCUAG
ensembl:miRNA